GCUUAUUUCCAGUGGAGUUCACUUUUGUCUUUCUUGGAUACUACUCUCCAGACCCUCUAAUUGCAUAUGCUGCUUUCUACGCCCCCAAGCCCGCUCCAACACAACCAAUUCAUAGUCUAGGCAUAGAAAUUAGUAGCUGACCUGCAGCGCACGAGUUUUACCCAUAAAAUGUGCGAUGGUUGGGGUUUGGCGACUGAUGGAAAAGUUCUUUUUGGCAGUGAUGGCACUUCAAUGCUGUAUAAGCUGGAUCCAAAGUCACUUGAAGUCAUGAAAGUGGUGACUGUCAAGUAUCACGGUGAUGAAGUCCCCUACCUUAAUGAGCUGGAGUAUAUAGAUGGUGAAGUCUGGGCAAAUGUCGGGCAGGUUAGAUGUAGUUCCUCCUAGCUAACAUAUCUUAUCAUGAAGUAUCUUAGUGAAACUAUGUACUGCAUUUCGCAAGGACCACUAUAUCUUCCAUUAGUAUCUUAGUGGCGACUCCAGGAUGUUAGACAAAGUACGAAUGAGGUUUAAAGGCUUCUCCGAUUAUUAUUUCUAGGUCUGUACCUCAACUUUCCUCAAAGUGACCAAGUUUCACUGAGUGAUGCUCUUCAUUUGGCCUAUUGAUGCCAAAUAGGUUGCUGGGUCCUUACUACAAUGCACUCACACUGUUUUUUUUUUCACGAUAAUUAGCCAUCUUAUGGGAGUUCCUCUACCCAAUUUUCUCUCCACUUAAUGCUAAGUGAUUUUCUGUAUUUCUAUGUAAUUUUGUUGUACCCUACUAAUAUAUGAUUUAUCAAUGUACGCAGAGAUAGAUACCUUGUAAUUUUCUAUAAUGUCUGACCUAGGCAUCUGAAUUUUGAAAGCUAUGAUACGCAGACAGAUUGCAUAGCUAGAGUGUCCCCUAAAAUGGCCUAGUGGUGGGCUGGAUCUUUCUUCAUGAGCUGAGGCGGCAAUUGUGGAACUCAGGCAAUACGGGUUGUGGACGCCCGUGUAUGGCUGCUAGGCGGCCAGGGAUGCCGCCGCUGCUGGCCGAGGACUGGCCAGGGCUAGAGCCGGCUACUCUUUGGAAACGAAGGCAGGAAACGCAAGAUCGCAGAGCUGACGCGGUGGUCCUCGACGGCUUCAAGGACGGGCGAGCAACGAGGGCGACGAGCAAUGUCCUGGCAACGCAGGAUCACUGAGGGGGUUUGAUGUGCAAGUACCUGGCAACGUAGGAUCGCGCAGGGCUGAUGGGCGAGGUCGUGUGAGGUGCGACGUGCGAGGUGCGAGUACCUGGCAACGCAGGAUCGCGCAGGGCUGAUGUCGUGGUCCUCGACGGCUUCAAGGACAGGCGAGCGAGGGCGAGGAAGGAUGGUCGACGGUGAGGUCGGGCGAGGGCGACGGUGAGGUCGGGCGAGGGCGACGGUGAGGUCGGUCGAGGGCGUGUUCAGGGAACUGGCAACGCAGGAUCGGAAAGGAUGUUUUGUUUCCUUUACGAGGGACCGAAAUUUUAGCUACGGAUAGAAAGAGAUGCAAAUUUUAUAUUAGGAAUCAUGUAUUUUUCCAUAUUUCAUUUCGCACCCUUCCACAUCCUGUUUAUAUAUUAUUCUCUAUUGUAAA